rnacentral:rRNA from 1 species
UACGUAAGGAGCAAGCGUUAUCCGGAUUUACUGGGCGUAAAGGGAGCGUAGGCGGCCUGCCAAGUCUGAUGUGAAAUACCGGGGCUCAACCCCGGGGCUGCAUUGGAAACUGGCAGGCUGGAGUGCCGGAGAGGCAGGCGGAAUUCCUGGUGUAGCGGUGAAAUGCGUAGAUAUCAGGAGGAACAUCGGUGGCGAAAGCGCUUUACUGGACCAUUAUUGACGCUGAGGAACGAAAGCCAGGGGAGCAAAUGGG